AAUAGAUACCCCGGUAGUCCACGCCGUAAACGAUGAGUGCUAGGUGUUGGGGGGACCCCCCUCAGUGCCGCAGGUAACCCAAUAAGCACUCCGCCUGGGGAGUACAGUCGCAAGACUGAAACUCAAAGGAAUUGACGGGGGCCCGCACAAGCGGUGGAGCAUGUGGUUUAAUUCGAAGCAACGCGAAGAACCUUACCAGGGCUUGACAUCCCGCUGACCGGUGUAGAGAUACGCCUUUCCCCUUCGGGGGACAGCGGUGACAGGUGGUGCAUGGUUGUCGUCAGCUCGUGUCGUGAGAUGUUGGGUUCAGUCCCGCAACGAGCGCAACCCUUGUUUCUAGUUGCCAGCACUUCGGGUGGGCACUCUAGAGAGACAGCCGGUGAAAGCCGGAGGAAGGUGGGGAUGACGUCAAAUCAUCAUGCCCCUUAUGUCCUGGGCUACACACGUGCUACAAUGGCUGGUACAAAGGGACGCCAAACCGCGAGGUGGAGCCAAUCCCAGAAAGCGCGACUCAGUUCGGAUUGCAGG
rnacentral:rRNA from 1 species